rnacentral:rRNA from 1 species
UACGUAGGGUGCAAGCGUUAAUCGGAAUUACUGGGCGUAAAGCGUGCGCAGGCGGUUCGCUAAGACAGAUGUGAAAUCCCCGGGCUUAACCUGGGAACUGCAUUUGUGACUGGCGGGCUAGAGUAUGGCAGAGGGGGGUAGAAUUCCACGUGUAGCAGUGAAAUGCGUAGAGAUGUGGAGGAAUACCGAUGGCGAAGGCAGCCCC